rnacentral:rRNA from 1 species
UAUGUAGGGGGCUAGCGUUGUCCGGAUUUAUUGGGCGUAAAGAGCGUGUAGGCGGCCAGAUAGGUCUGCUGUGAAAACUCGAGGCUCAACCUCGAGAUGUCGGCGGAAACCAUUUGGCUAGAGUCCGGAAGAGGAAAGUGGAAUUCCUGGUGUAGCGGUGAAAUGCGCAGAUAUCAGGAAGAACACCGGUGGCGAAGGCGGGACUCUGGGCCGAUACUGACGCUGAGACGCGAAAGCGUGGGGAGCGAACAGG